rnacentral:ribozyme from 1 species
GAAGCGAUCCAGAUGCUUUCAUGCUGCAAAACUUUGUCUGGCUAAUUGUUGUUGCAGGGUGAAGCAGAAUCAGUCCUUGGAAUAUAAUCCGCAUAAGAAUUUUAAUGAU